rnacentral:rRNA from 1 species
AUUGAACGCUGGCGGCAUGCCUUACACAUGCAAAUCGAACGGUAACGGGCCUUCGGGUGCCGACGAGUGGCGUACGGGUGAGUAAUACAUCUGAACGUUGCCGAACGUGGGGGAUAACGCGGCGAAAGCUUUUCUAAUACUGCAUACGAUCUACGGAUGAAAGCAGGGGACCGCAAGGCCUUGCGCGGGCGGAGCGGCCGAUGGCGGAUUAGGUGGUUGGUGGGAUAAAAGCUUACCAGGCCGACGAUCUGUAGCGGGGCUGAGAGGAUGAUCAGCGACACUGGGGCUAAGACACGGCCCAGCCUCCUCCUGGAGGCAGCAGUGGGGAAUUUUGUAGAAUGGGCGCAGGCCUGAUCCAGCAAUGCCGCGUGCAGGAUGAAGGCCUUCGGGUUGUAAACUGAUUUUGUACGGAACGAAAAGCCUUCUUUUAAUACAGGAGGGUCAUGACGGUACCGGAAGAAUAAGCACCGGCUAACUACGUG